GGGGCUAUAGCUCAGUGGUGGAGCACUUGCCUAGUAUGCAUGAGACACUGGAUUCGAUCCUCAGCACCA
rnacentral:tRNA from 1 species